AAAGCAAGCUGCAAUUACAGUGCUUCAUUUUGUGAAAUACUAAAUACCAUCAUUAUCCUUAAUGAUUUUUGAUUUUGUCUUUGUAAGAGUAAAAUCAUGACAGAUUGACAUAGACAAUU